rnacentral:lncRNA from 1 species
ACCUAUUGUGAAAUAUUUUACAGAUAAUCUUUUUUUAAAUGAAGAUAUAACAUAUAAAGUUUAAUUAAUCUUUUAUUCCUAUCUUGAAAUAAAAAAGUAAAAAAUAUAUAAAACUUAGUAUAAAUAUCAUUAUUUAUAAAAGGAUAAAAUAUUUUAUUUUCAAACCAAAUAUAUAUAGUAUUUGAUAGAGUAGAUAAUUGUACAUUGAACAUGCCUUGUUUCACAUAAAUAAUAUAGGUACUAUAUAAAAAUAAAAAUAAAACUAUUUAGAAAAGGUUACAAUAAUUUAUUUUCAAACCAAAAGUAUAUAUUAUUUGAUAUUGUAGUUAAUUGAUAAUUGAAUAAGCCUCGUGUCACAUAAAUAAUAUAUGUACUAAUUAAAAAAACACCUAUUGUAAAAUAUUUUACAUAUAAUCUUUUUUUUUUAAAUGAAGAUAUAACAUAUACUGUUUAAUUAAUCUUUUAUUCCUAUUUUGAAAUAAAAAAGUAAAAAAUAUAUAAAAAUUAAUAUAAAAAUCAUAAUUUAUAAAAGGAUAUAAUAUUUUAUUUUCAAACCAAAUAUAUAUAGUAUUUGAUAGAGUAGAUAAUUGUACAUUGAAUAUGCCUUGUUUCACAUAAGAUAUUAAGAACUCGUACAUUUGGAUAUAUGUUAAAACAAUAUUAUAUCAUGAACUCAUAAGAAAACUUUUCACAUAAAUAUAAUUAAUGACCCUUCGAAGCUAAAUUAUGUUUUAAUUUUCCAAAAGAUUAUAUAAUUAAUUAGAGUAUAUAAAGUAGAUUGAAUAUUGAUGUUUCAUACAAAAUAAUAUUGCACUAUUUAGCAUGAGAAGUCUAAUACGUCUCAACAAAUUGCAGUUCUUUACAAAACUAUUUAAAUAAAAAAUAGUAAUAUUUGUUCUGAAUUUAUAAUAAAAGUUAUUUAUAGUUAAAAAUUAAAAGGAUCUAUCUUUAAAUAAUCUAUAAAAAUAUAAAUAUUUAGAAAAGGAUAUAAUAAUUUAUUUUAUAACAAAAAGUAUAUAUUAUUUGAUAUAAUAGAUAAUUGUACAUUGAAUAUGCCUUGUUUCACAUAUAUAAUAUAGGCACUAUUUAAAAAUAAAUCUACCUGUUGUAAAAUAUUUAUCAUAUAAUCUUUUUUUAAAUGAAGAUAUAACAUAUACUGUUUAAUUAAUCUUUUAUUCCUAUUUUGAAAUAAAAAAGUAAAAAAAAAUAUAAAAAUUAAUAUAAAAAUCAUAAUUUAUAAAAGGAUAUGCCUUGUUUCACAUAAAUGAUAUAGGUACUCUAUAAAAAUAUAAAUAUAAAUAUUUAGAAAAGGAUAUAACAAUUUAUUUUCUAACAAUAAGUAUAUAUUGUUUGAUAUAAUAGAUAUUUGUACAUUGAAUAUGCGUUGUUUCACAUAAAUAAUAUAGGUACUAUUUAAAAAAAAAUACCUGUUGUAAAAUAUUUAUCAUAUAAUCUUUUCUUAAAUGAAGAUAUAACAUCUAAAGUUUAGCUAAUUAAUAUAUUAUUUUUAUAUUAAAUUAAAAAAAGUAAUAAAAAUGAUAAAUGUUAAAACAUAAUUUGAAUAAAGUACCAACAAUCGAUCAAUUUUACUUAUAAAUAAGAAAUGAUGGAGGGGACUAGUGCAUUGUCAAAAUUUGUUUUCUUUUCAUUUCAAGGUUUUCAUACCACCAAUUCAGAAAUAGAUCGUGAAACCAAAGUAAGUUUCUUUGUUUAUUUUUAAUUUUUUUCACUAAAUUUUAUGAAUUUGGUUGUGGCUAAUGGGGGAGUAGGUAAUUUUUUUUUAUAUUAUUAAACUUUGGUUUAGUUUCUUAUGAGUUUUAUAUUCUUUUGACCUAAAAACUAGGUUGUCAGUUUAUCAUGUGGCGGAGCUAUUAGAUAUUUUAUUCAAUGAAGAUCACGAGCGAAGUGUCUCAAGUUAGGACAUUCCAUUCAAAAAUUCGAGAAUCUCCCAUUGAAAUGAAAUUAGUCAAUAGAGUUAGUACUCCCAAAAUGGAUAUUGGGUGAAAUACUAUUACGUUAAAAUUUCAUCUGAUAUUUCAAGAUGAUUGACGUUGUUUCUCAGCUUCGAUAAUUUCCUCAAAGGUGAGUUGCUUUGUCUCUUCUUAGUUAUUUAACCUAAAAUUUUUUUGUACUUGCUUGCGUUAUGAAAUAUCGUGUUUAGAUUCUAAGGGAAGAUCAUAUUAUUAAAGAGCUAACACGGUGUCUUUCACAAGGCCAUGGGGUAAGCAAUGUCGGCAAACAAAGACAGUAUGGCCCUACAUUUUAGAGCUGGGAAGAUUAUGUAGGGACACGAUUCAUGUGUUUAUUAAGAAUAUUAUUGUGAAGGCCAAGUGAUUUAAAUUUUAUUUCCAUUUUAUGUUGCACAUGAUUAUGAUUUACGUUAUUCAAUGAUGAAACUGAUCAUUAUCAUUGUUAGUCACAAUCAUGUGCAACAUAAAGUGAGAAAAAAAAAUUAAAACCACAUAUUACUGACAAAAGUAUUCAAUAUACACACAUGAAAUCUCACCCUCCACAAUUUUCUCGGCUCUAAAAUGUGGGUUCAGAAUGUCUUUGUUUGCCAACAUUGCUUCCUCCAUUGCCUUUUGAAAGUCACUGUGUUAGCUCUUAAAAAAUAUGGUCUUCCCUUAGAAUCUAAAUAAGACAUUUAAUUUGUUUUAAUUUUCCAAAAGAUUAUAUAAUUUAAUUAGAGUAUAUAAAAGUAGAUUGAAUAUUGAUGUUUCAUACAAAAUAAUAUAUGCACUAUUUAGCAGAGAAGUCUAAUACGUCUCAACAAAUUUGCAGUUCUUUACAAAACUAUUAUAAAUAAAAAAUAGUAAUAUUUGUUCUGAAUUUAUAAUAAAAGUUAAUUUAUAGUUAAAAAUUAAAAGGAUCUAUCUUUAAAUAUAUAUUCAAGCUAUAUAAUCAUUCAAUAUUCAAAGUUUUUAUCAAAAAUUUAACAUAUAAAGUGAAAAUAUUUUCUUUUCACUAACUAUAUUUGUUAUUGAAAAUCUGAAAAUUGUAAGAUUCAUAUUUAUAUCCUCUUUAAACAUAAUUUCCCCCCAAAAGUUAUGUUUUAGAAUUAUAAAAGGAUAUUAUAAUUUAUUUUCAAUUAAAAGAAUAUAUUGUUUGAAAGUAAUAAUUGCAUGUACAUUGAAAAUCCUAUUUCACAUAAAUAGUCAUGUACUGUUUAAAAUAUACUUAUUUAAAAUAUUUAACAUACAAUGUUUUUUAAUGAAGAUUUAACAUAUAAAUUUACCUAAAUGAUCUUUUAUUCUUAUCUUAAUUUCAGAAAAUAAAAAUAAAAUAAAAAUUAACUAUAAAUAUCUUUAUUUGAAAAAGGAUAUAAUUUUUUUAUUUUCAAAUGAAAAUAUAUAUUAUUUGAUAGAGUAAUUAUUGUACAUUGAAUAUGCCUUAUUUCACAUAAAAAAUAUAGGUAGUAUAUAAAAAUAAAAUAAAAAAUAUUUUUAAAAGGGUACAAUAAUUUAUUUUCAAACCAAACAACUCUAAUGGUGGUAUUAAAAGAACUUGUCAACACGGGAUUCUUAUCGGAAUGUGAAUGUCCCGAUAAAAGAUUCUUCGCCCAUGAUCUUGAGUGAAUAAAACUCCGAAGGCUCCACCUCAUGAUGAUAUAAUGAUCUAUAAGGAAUAGGAACUCGUUAUGCCUGCUGGCAGUAACUUAAUAUUUAAUCUUGUCUUAUGAUUUUUAUCUUGAUGCUUAAAUUUUUAUUGCUCUCAAUACUAAAUCGUUAUCUUAAAUUGUAACAUAAUACAUUUUUGUAUCUAACAAUGUGCCCGACAUCCUGAACACGGCUGAAAGAAACUGGGGUCCUCAAUGUAAAGUUAUCAUUCAAGAUUCUAUGGUUUCCUAUCAUUAAUAUUAUAUAGUUUUCCAACAAUCAUAUCAAAUUCAACCACAAACUUAUGCAUUGAAAACAACCAUUGAACCUUGCGCAGUCAUAAGUGGGUUUCAUAUAUGUGUGUGUAUUUUUUUUUUUCAAAAUUCAACCAUAAACUUAUAUAUAUGUGUGUAUUUUUUUCAAAAUUUAAAUUAUACUACUCUAAAACAUCUUUCAAAUGCAAUCAAUCAAAUCACGUAUAUUUAGAUUAAUUUUUAAAAUAGUUCUAAAAAUAUUUACAGAACUCCGUACAUUUGGAUAUAUGUUAAAACAAUAUUAUAUCAUGAACUCAUAAGAAAACUUUUCACAUAAAUAUAAUUAAUGACCCUUCGGAAAGGUAAAUUAAUUGUUUUAAUUUUCCAAAAGAUUAUAUAAUUUAAUUAGAGUAUAUAAUAGUAGAUUGAAUAUUGAUGUUUCAUACAAAAUAAUAUAUGCACUAUUUAGCAUGAGAAGUCUAAUAUCGUCUCAACAAAUUUGCAGUUCUUUACAAAACUAUUAUAAAUAAAAAAAUAGUAAUAUUUGUUCUGAAUUUAAUAUAAAAGUUAAUUUAUAGUUAAAAAUUAAAAGGAUCUAUCUUUAAAUAUAUAUUCAAGCUAUAUAAUCAUUCAAUAUUCAAAGUUUUUAUCAAAAAUUUAACAUAUAAAGUGUAAAAUAUUUUCUUUUCACUAACUAUAUUUGUUAUUGAAAAUCUGAAAAAUUGUAAGAUUCAUAUUUAUAUCCUCUUUAAACAUAAUUUCCCCCCAAAAGUUAUUGUUUAAGAAUUUAUAAAAGGAUAUUAUAAUUUAUUUUCAAUUAAAAGAAUAUAUUGUUUGAUAUAGUAGAUAAUUGCAUGUACAUUGAAUAAUCCUUAUUUCACAUAAAUAGUCCAUGUACUGUUUAAAAAAAUAUACUUAUUAUAAAAUAUUUAACAUACAAUGUUUUUUAAUGAAGAUUUAACAUAUAAAAUUUACCUAAAUGAUCUUUUAUUCUUAUCUUAAUUUCAGAAAAUAAAAAUAAAAUAAAAAUUAACUAUAAAUAUCUUUAUUUGAAAAAGGAUAUACUUUUUUUAUUUUCAAAUGAAAAAUAUAUGUUAUUUGAUAGAGUAGAUUAUUGUACAUUGAAUAUGCCUUAUUUCACAUAAAUAAUAUAGGUAGUAUAUAAAAAUAAAAAUAAAAAUAUUUUUAAAAGGGUACAAUAAUUUAUUUUCAAACCAAAAUUAAAUAUUAUUUGAUAUUGUAGAUAAUUGUUAACUGAAUAAACCUUGUGUCACAUUAAUUAUAUAUGUACUAUUUAAAGAAAAACGACCUAUUGUGAAUUUUUUUACAGAUAAUCUUUUUUUAAAUGAAGAUAUAACAUAUAAUGUUUAAUUAAUCUUUUCUUCCUAUCUUGAAAUAAAAAAAUAAAAAAUAUAUAAAACUUAAUAUAAAUAUCAUUAUUUAUAAAAGGAUAAAAUAUUUUAUUUUCAAACCAAAUAUAUAUAGUAUUUGAUAGAGUAGAUAAUUGUACAUUGAAUAUGCCUUGUUUCAAAUAAAUAAUAUAGGUACUAUAUAAAAAUAAAAAUAAAACUAUUUAGAAAAGGAUACAAUAGAUUAUUUUCAAACCAAAAGUAUAUAUUAUUUGAUAUUGUAGUUAAUUGUUAAUUGAAUAAGCCUCGUGUGACAUAAAUAUUAUAUGUACUAAUUAAAAAAACACCUAUUGUAAAAUAUUUUACAUAUAAUCUAUUUUUAAAUGAAGAUAUAACAUAUACUGUUUAAUUAAUCUUUUAUUCCUAUUUUGAAAUAAAAGAGUAAAAAAA